UGGGGAAUAUUGGACAAUGGGCGAAAGCCUGAUCCAGCCAUGCCGCGUGUGUGAAGAAGGUCUUCGGAUUGUAAAGCACUUUAAGUUGGGAGGAAGGGCAUUAACCUAAUACGUUAGUGUUUUGACGUUACCGACAGAAUAAGCACCGGCUAACUCUGUGCCAGCAGCCGCGGUAAUACAGAGGGUGCAAGAGUUAAUGGGAAUUACUGGGCGUAAAGCGCGCGUAGGUGGUUUGUUAAGUUGGAUGUGAAAUCCCCGGGCUCAACCUGGGAACUGCAUUCAAAACUGACUGACUAGAGUAUGGUAGAGGGUGGUGGAAUUUCCUGUGUAGCGGUGAAAUGCGUAGAUAUAGGAAGGAACACCAGUGGCGAAGGCGACCACCUGGACUAAUACUGACACUGAGGUGCGAAAGCGUGGGGAGCAAACA
rnacentral:rRNA from 1 species